rnacentral:rRNA from 1 species
GAUGAACGCUAGCGGCAGGCUUAAUACAUGCAAGUCGAGGGGCAGCAUGAUUGUAGCAAUACAAUUGAUGGCGACCGGCAAACGGGUGCGGAACACGUACACAACCUCCCAAUAAGUAGGGAAUAGCCCAGAGAAAUUUGGAUUAAUACCCCGUAACAUAACGAUGUGGCAUCACAUUGUUAUUAUAGAUUUUUCGCUUAUUGAUGGGUGUGCGGCUGAUUAGAUAGUCGGCGGGGUAACGGCCCACCAAGUCUACGAUCAGUAGCUGAUGUGAGAGCAUGAUCAGCCACACGGGCACUGAGACACGGGCCCGACUCCUACGGGAGGCAGCAGUAAGGAAUAUUGGACAAUGGACGCAGGUCUGAUCCAGCCAUGCCGCGUGAAGGAUUAAGGUCCUCUGGAUUGUAAACUUCUUUUAUAAGGGACGAAAAAAGGCUUUUCUAAGUCGUCUGACGGUACCUUAUGAAUAAGCACCGGCUAACUCCGUGCCAGCAGCCGCAGUAACAC